GGAUAGAGUUUAUUUCAUCUUACAGCUUAUAAAUCAAUCAUCUAGGGAGUCAUGGCAACAACCUAUGCAGAGGCCAUGAAAGAGUGCUGCUUAUUGGCUCACUCGCCAUGGUCUUCUUAGCUUGCCUUCUUGUACACCCUAGGGCCACUGGCCAGGGAUGCAACAACCCACAAGGGGCUGGGAUUCUCCACAGGAAUCACUGACCAAGAAAAUGCAUGAUAGAGUUGCCUAAAGGCAAAUGUUAUUUAGGCAUUUUCUCAUUUCUGAGUCUUUCUUCCCCAAUGACUCUAGCUUGUGUCAACUUGACAUACAACUAGCCAAGACAGGGAGGACGCUUAAAUGUGCAGCCUUUUGUGCAUAGGUUACAUUGGAUAUGGUAGCUCAAGGAUUUAAGCUCUGAUCUAUAUCUACAAUCAGGCAAAUUCAUCUCGUAUGAUCAGGUAUGAUCAGACUUCUCCCAGGUGAAGUUGAGUACAGAGCUUAUCCAAGACUGGCAUUUUUAUAACUGUCUGAAAAAUCCAACUAAUAGAUAUGAAAAACUUUGAAAACAAGGUUAUUGUCUAUAAAAAUGUCAAUGUCCUGAGCCACACUGCUUAUUAAAACAUUACUAGCAAUUAAACCCUUGUUAAAUUAAUUUAUAAGGGAGUGAAGAUAUGCCUUUGCAGAUAACAGACACCUGGAGGGAAAGAGGGAAAAAUCUGUGCCUGUUUUCAAUGCCAAGCUCUUGAGUCCUAAUGAUACUCGAACCUUAAGCAGGUUCUUAAGGAGAACUUAAGAUCCAAUGACUUAUCUCUAUGUCAAGUCAAGAUGUACACUCUAGAAGGACUGGUUGGCUAGAUAAUUUCCUUCUUUCAAAACUCCUUUUAAGGAAAUAACAUUCACCUCACUUCCCCAAGAAAAAUUAACGUUCAUAUCAAGUACACAAAUACAUCUGAUGCUCUUGUAAAGUGCCAACUUUCGGGCUGGAAUGUAGUGCAGUGGUGUUGGUUUCCUCUGAUGCCCUAGGUUGUAGGUUCAAUACCCUCUCACCCAAACAGUGCUACCAGAAUCUUAACCUCCUAGAAAGUUCAUGUCUAUGUAUGAACUCUACUUCUGGCUUGUACUGGGGAUCCAACUGAUAUAUCAGCAACACCAAUUAACUCACCUAAGACCCAUUAAUCAGAUAUCAGAAUUGAAACUUGAGACAAUUGCUAAUAGUCUGUCUUCCAGAAAUGAACAGAGGGUCCUCAACACUGAAUCUUCAAGUGCACCGAAGCCUUUAUAUAGGUCUCUAACAGUGUACUAAUACCACAUGAGCAUCCACAAGCUAGCUCUUUGUAGAAUUAUCUUCUUUUUUAAUCUAUAAAGAUAUGUUUUAGGGCAAGGACAGUCACUAACCUGUGUACUGUCAGAAAUCACUUAAGACAAGAUAAUGAACUCCAGAAGUUCACAGUUGGAUUCACUCUGGCAAUGAUUAUUUUUAAAUACAGUGACAUUUUCUUUGUUCUUAACUGUUUCCAACUACACUCUCAUUUUGGGGAAGCAUAAAAGCUCCUGAGGGAAAAUAUGGAAAGGCCAAGAAUUUAUUGCCCUUCUGUAUAAAGCAAUGACUCACAGGAAGCAUCCUUAGGCUACCAACUCUUAAACUGCAUCUGUAACUGUCUUCCAUGUCCAGGAGGGCAUGAGAAUGAAGGGAAAUGAGAGGCAGGCUUGUGUGGCUAGGAAAUGAGAGAGAAGCACCAGUGUACCUCUGAGUAUUUCUCUUCGUCUCAAACAAGCAGCCUGGUUCUCAUUUUUCCAUUUUUCUACACAGUGACUUCUCACCCAAUUUGCUCAGUCUUGCAGAGUCCCUGUUUCCCUACAUGUUGAAAAGGAGAAGGGAAGUAGAAAGAAAUACGCAGAGAAGGAGGAAGUCUCUCUAAUUCCUGAUUCUGUACCAGAGAGGUGCUGUGAUUUGGAAUUUAAUAGUGCUUACAAAGAAGCCUUGGAAAUUACAGCGCUUUACAAAUGUCAAGUGCCUCUGUUACAACCUGCACACUUCAAUCUCCGUGACCUCUUCAGGCCCGGGUUUCUCUUGUUUCUGAGGCAGCAAAGAAUCUCAAGGGAAGUAGAUUAUCAUGACCAGGUCCCAGUGAAAGUCUUCUCCACACAUCUCCUCUCCCCAAGCCUAAUGGAUUCUCCCCACAAAAGAUCCAGCUUGUGUAUAACUGUUCAAUGUCAUGAGUGUGGCACUUAAUAUAACUUUACAGGGAAAUUAAAGGCUAUUGCUCUAUUGGGGAACAUAAGAUUGAUAAGAAUCUUGCAGAGAUGGUCAUGAGUUCUUUCUUUAGUGGCUGAGAAAUUAAGAGCUGUGUUUUUCAUUGAUCCUAUAGCUGUAUUGUCUGUGAUUCUCAGAAUGCCACAGAUUAUCUAUAUAGUUUACAGAUAUAAAGGGGCAUCAUCAGCCCAUUAAAAUUCCCCAUUCUUUUUAAUAAACCACUUGACUUUGCCAGGUUUCAGCUACAAAAGGAAUGAAUUUCGGAUGAGAAAAAAAAAAGUACAUUUCUAGUACAGAUGGAGGGAGAAAAAAGAAGACCCUUUGUUAAUCACUAUACUAUGAGUAGCUGGGGGUUUCUUUCUUCCUUUCCAAAAGGAAGAGUUUGUCAUGCACUCAAGUUCUUACACAGUCUCUUAUUGACAAUGUUCUCUCUUGGGUGCUUUAUUUUUGAACAAAGAAGUAUUCUCUUAAUGAAGCCACUUGACCUCCUCAAUCAAUGUUAGUUUGUGAUGCUUAGAAAGGUCAGCUGAUGCCAUCAGCUCUUUUAAGAAAGCAGAGGCAUUUAACAAAAAAGCAAACAAAAGGCUUGACUAUUCUAGCAUCAUGACCGUGUAACUGUUCAUAUCAGACAUGAUUACAAACAGCCUCUUAAGAUCUCUUUUAGUAAGGAAUGCAGUAAGGGAGAGUUUUAGAGAUUGCCAGUAUACAUCUAUUGGAAGAAACAAAAAUAAAAUGCACUAAAGAGGUAAAGGAUGGCUGGGCACGGGAUAAACUUUAGAGCAGUGCUUCUCCAUCUGUGGGUCAUGACCCCUUUGGGGGUUGGAAGAUACUUUCACAGGGGUCACCUAAGAUCCUCAGAAAACACAGAUAUUUGCAUUAUGAUUUAUAACACUAGCAAAAUGACAGUUAGGAAGUAGCAACAAAACAAUUUUAUGGUUGGGCAUCAGCACAACAUGAGGAACUGUGUUAAAGGAUCACAGGAAUUAGGAAGGAUUAGGGAGGUUGAGAACCACUGAGUUAGAGGAACAACUUCAAAAGUAGAUGCCAAACACAACUGCAAUGGGGGUAAAAAGAACAAAGUCUGCUGGUUUCUUCUGGAUGUUAUGAAGUGACUCCACUGCAGUCAAAGACAGACGCCAAUGAGGAAUGUGAACAUGUUACUUCGUGGCAGUAAAUGAGUAAGCAUUCCUAUAUAAGCCUUCAAUUAAUGUAAUUAACACACAAUUGAUAUUGUUUCAUCUUCUAAAGUGGGCACAUAAGGGCUGGGGAUGUAGUUCAGUUGGUAGAGUGCUUGCCUAAAAAGCAGAAGGCCCUGGGCUCAAUCCUUAGCACUGCAUAAACCAGCCAGGAUGAUGCAAGCCUACGAUCCCAGCCCUCAGGAAGUAAAGCAGGAGGCUAAUUUCAAAAUCAUAGUCAACGACAAAGCAAGUUUGAAGCCAAUCUGGGUUACAUGCAACCUUGUCUCCAGAACUCCCAAGGGCUGGUCCCAGAAUGUCUUUAUAUAGGAAGGCAUCCUGUCACCUGGCUUUGGUAUGUGGCAGUUGAGAAAGUCUAAGCUUAGUUAGCAAUGGUAUGAAAGUGAGUCAGAGAUAUGUCAGACAUUGCCUCAGUGCUCAACCACUAGAAUUCCAGAAUUAGGAAGGAGACGAGAAAAACCUUGCAUUCCCAAGGGACCAAGACAUCUACUUAGUACUUUUGCUAUGAUAAAAGAAUCUCACACUCAUGUUUUCUUCAGAGCAAACAGAUGAUUAUACUAACUUCAUAACCCAUGUUUUCAAUUUAAAAUUGUGUGGGCUAACAAAGGAGCAGGGCCCUAAAACAGUAUUUCCGUGCUUGCAGGCAAGGAACCGAGCCUUUGGAGUAUUUGAGCAGUCUCUCUUGUAACACCAUUUUCCCUCCAAAGCUGUUCUGCCAGGCUAUCCUUUCAUAGUCACGUGAACAGAACAUUCUGGAAAUAGGUCAGGAAGUCAAGUUUAAAAAAAAAAAAAAGACCCAUGACAACAGACUGCUUCCACUUAACCUAUUCUAUACCCUCUAAGGGGAGAGACUCAUGAGUCCCCCACAGGCCUCCCUGAGGGACUACAGGAAGUGAAUGGUCACUGGGGGAGAAUUUGUCACUUUCUUCAGUGGUGUGGCUUCUGAUGAAUUGUUCAUGCUUGGGGAAGUAACUUGCUACCCAUGCUCACAGUGGGUUCUACAUACAAAAGCAACAUGGUAGUAAAAGACAGACCCUUUGGGAAAAAGAAUGGUUCCAGUGGGAGGGAGAAUGGGGGAGAGAGGGAAAUGGGAGGAAGGUGAAAGGGCUAAAAUUCAUUAUACACACAUAGGAGACUAUCAACAAAUACGAAAAGGUAAACAUCUUUUAAAAGAAACAACGCAAUCAUUCGAAGGCAAAUAGUGUUGGCAUUUGUAUCUUAAUGAGCAGCUGAUUGACAUUAAUGUUUCCCAAAGUGUCUCAGCGCUCAGCCUAGUGCUGGUCUAAAGUUUCCCUAGCAGGAACCACAUGAGAAGAAAGUGUGGGCCAUAACCCAAACUAACACAAAAGCCCCUCUCUAUACCCUGCACAUACUCUCCCAAGUAUCUCAGACUCUGCCCGUCAGGAGCAGGGCAGGGAAUUACCAAAGCAUUGCAUGCAAACCAUCAGCUGCUCGUCUCUCCUGGGAUGCUGUUCCUGGUGUGAGCCCAAGCUCGGGUUCUGCAAACCUCCCUAAAAGCAAGGUGGAAUGGCUUGCUAGUGACAGAGCUUCCCUCUCUACAGGACAGGGCAUUAAGCUCCAGCAAAGGUAGCAGUCAUUUGCAUCCAUCAGCUUCACUAAACCUAAGAGUCAGCUGCACUUGCAUCCCCAGAGCCCCCAGACAGCACGAGGCAGCUCUCUAGGUCUCAUCGGAAGGCGAUACAUUCCUUAGGCCCACUGUCAAUCAGUCCACAAAAUCUCAUGCAAUUUACAGAGCGUAGCAGCUUAGCUGGCGAAAAGACAAACAUUUCAAUGUGUAAAACGAAGGAAGAGAAAUUGUAAAUAGUGGGUAGUAGCUAAAAUAAACAGCGCUUGUUAGGAGACCUACGAGAGUUCAGAGAGGAACUUUUGAAGAAAUCCACAUGAGAAGAAAUAGCAGCGUAACCAUGGUGAUACCAGGACAUGGGUUGAGCUUUGAAGCUGGGAUAUAGGACUGACAUAAAGAAGAAAAGGAGAACAGUGGAGUUGAGAAGCUGAAGCAGAAACAGGCAGGGGAAUGCAGAAGAGCGCAGGGGCCCGUCCACAUUGCACUGUGAGGUUAGAGACCAGAGAGCACAUGAAUCUAGACUUGGGGUAGCUGUUGGGAGUGUGAAGGACAUCAGAUCAUUGGAGGACCAGAAUGGUGUGUGGGUAGGAAAGGGUUAAACAGGAAAUACACAGAGGAUAUAAAUGCUUAUUAUGAUGUCUCAGUUUUCCACAUGAGAACACUAGCAUGCUCCCUCCUCCACUGUAUUUCCAGGAGGUAGCAUUUUGUCACAAAAUGAUAAACAGAACCACAACUCCAUGCCACAUUCUACGGCACACGGCUUUCAUCCAUGUUCCACUCUGAGUGUGUACUGUUCUCUCUGUCUUGUGAAAAAGCAACACUGUGAGUCAGACAUGCGAAGUGCCUUGCCUGGGCUCACAGAGGAACUGAGUGAUGGCGUCCGGAUCUACACUCUGGUCUCUAUGCUUCAGUGUGAGGUCUGAGAACAUAAGCUUCACGGAGACGGAACACACUCUCUGUUCACUGCAGCGCCCACAGGAAGAAGACAGGCCUGGCGCAGAACAGACUAUAGGCUCUUUUUAAAUGAAUGAAUGAAUGAAUGAAUGAAUCUUAUUAUUCAUCUUGUCGUCCUACCUAGUACUAGUUGAUGAAUGACUCACCAAAUACCUCAAGCAAGCAUCGAAUGAUUUACAUAAGAUGUUUAACAAUAAAAGAUUCAGGAAAUCUUUAUAAAUACUACCUUAAAAUAACUUUUCUAAGUACAAUGGCAGUGUAUGAACAAAGCAUCCUUUUUCAUUCUUAAGGGGGACUAUUCAGGAUGUUAUGUGUAGCUAAAAUGAAAGAAUCAUACACUAACAUAAGCCCAGGGGCAUGGGAUCUUACAGGAUUUUAAAGAGUUCUGAAGUAAAAUAAAAAUAGCACAGAGCAGUAGCGGGUGAGCAUGAUGAAGAGACAUCUCUUCAUCGAACGUGCUUGGAGUCUUACCGAUCCAAGCACUUGCUGCCAAACAGACUAACACCGGGCUGAGGGUAAUGACGGAGGCUACGGCAGAGGAUUAGAUAGGAAUUCAAUGAUCCAGUGGAUAUUCUGAGCAAAAUUUUGAAUACAUGCACACACACACACAUAUAAUCAGUGUAGAAAAAAUUUUAUGAGGUUCUAAAUGAAAAUUUUGGAGAAAAUAUUCUAUAAAGUUUUAUAUAUGGUAUCCUUUUAUAAGAUUAUAAUUUUUAUUUUCAUCUAAAAGGCUUAUAAUCUACUUCGGAGGUUGAUAUUCUUCACAUGUGAGGAAAAUGGGAGCAUACUCCCAAUGAAAAAAAAUUUUUCUUUUCAAAUGAUAAAGGACUUGUAAAGCUCAGAGAAGAAGUUCAGUUAAUUUAGUAGUGAUUGACUAAAUAAAAAUGCUUUCUGCAUAUCAUGUCUGUUUUUAACUUUUAAAACACAGGAUUGUUGACAAACGGACAGGAAAAAAAAAGUUGUGCUGUCAUGUCUUGCUUAUUUGCAUAAACAUACGGAAGAAACACAUUUCUGUCACCCUCUGUUGUCCUUUGACUCUUCUGUAGCUUUUAUUCUUCUAUUAGCUUUAAUACCUUACUUCUUCAUCCUCGCACUGAAUAGACAAGCCUGAACUUCACUCAGUGGGGCUUGUAAGAACACGAUUGGAUGAUGAAAGGAGAGAGUACAAGGGAAUAGAUGCCUCAGGUGAUAAAUGCUCACCUCCUACCCUUGAGUUCGCUCUGCAGAACUCAGAAAACAACGGCUGGACAUGGUGGUAUGCAGUUAACACACUAGAGCUAGGCAGAUCCCUGGAGCUAACUGGGCUGCCCACCCAGUCUCCUUGGUGAGUUCUAGGCCAAUGAGAGAUGCUGUUUUAAAAACAGGGGGCAGUGGGUAACCUUACAUGGCUGCUAUGAUCUUUGAGGUGAGGGAGUAUCUUGGAUAUUCUUGGUGGGCCCAAUAUAAUCACAGGGGUCACUGAAGAGAAGGCAGGAAGGCCAGAAAGUUGGAGUCAGGAGAGGAGAGGGGAGGGGGGGAGGAGGGAGAGGGGAGGGGGAGGGGAGGGAGAGGGGAGGGGGAAGAGGAGGGGGAGGGGGAAGGGAGGGGAGGGGAGAGGAGAGGAGAAAUAGACCCAAAGGUUUUAGAGAGGAGAGGAGAAAUAGACCCAAAGGUUUUAGACAUCUCAGUAGUUGCCUAAAUGUGGGCCUUAGCAGAAGAGUAUCAAUAAAGCCCCAGUACAGGGGAACGCCAGGGCCAAAAAGGGGGAGUGGGUGGGUAGGGGAGGGGGGGUGGGUGGGUAUGGGGGACUUUUGGUAUAGCAUUGGAAAUGUAAAUGAGCUAUAUACCUAAUAAAAAAUGGAAAAAAAAGAAAACAAUGAUUAAAAAAAAAAAAAAAAAAACAAGGAGUGCUGGCAGCCUAUAGCAGCUAGAACCCUCUGGCCACAGAAGCAGUGUAACCCACGGACACCCUGAGCUUAUCCCAGUGAAAGCAGACCUUCUGGCUUUCAGAACAAUAAGAUAAUAGAUAGGGAUUGACUUACACUACUCUCUCUUCAUUUGCUAAAGCCUCAAUAGGAACAAGUACACAUGAUACCCCAAGUUUCCUGAAGCUGUUCAAGAAACACAUUUUUGUCAUAAUACCCUUCUACUCCUAGUAGCACAAAGCUAAGGAGCAUCUACUCCACUCUGCUUUAAAAAAAAAAAAAAAGAAGGGGUCAUGAACAAAGAACUCUAGCAUGCCUGAAAUGCCUCCACCCUACUGUAGCCAACAUUUCACCUGCAACGUUUCUGCAGACACCAGCCUCAAACCACACUUUCAUGCUGCACGCUGCAAUCAGGCUGACCGUGAAGUGUCACGCCAUCAAAUCCUGCUCCCACGCUCUACCACAAACACUGCAUCCUGAUUAAGCUUCUGUUACAAGAUUCAGAGCUCUACGCAGCUUGGUCGGCUUUCUAACCAGUUCUCUCUUCCCCAUGUCUGAACUCCACCCAACAACAGGCUUUCUCACACUGUCCUGAUGGAGGGCCUCUCUGCCCUCUGUGCUCUGACCUCGGCAGUAAUAUACUCCCUACCUAUGUUCCGCAUUCUGCUGGUGAGAACAUUUCUUUCCUGGCCUAUCUGAAGUGACACUUCCUCCACCACAUCCCCCUCGUACUAACACUGUUCGUUUGAGGGCCAUGGCCUUUGUAAAGCUAGAACCCAAUAAAAUACUCAGUGGUAACUUAGGACAUCGAUUUUAUUCUCGUAUCUUCCCCCUCCUGAAUCGAAACUUACCAGAACUGCCAUAUAUUUUGUGACACCUAGUUUAAGGCCGUCAAGAACUGGUAGCUUUCCUUUUGUAAGUUUUAAUACCUUAAUCUUGAUAUUUUCUCAUCGGAUACCCUUCUUUCAACAUUUAAAUCCCAGCCUUAGGGCCUCUGUGUGCAGAACCUGUUUGUUCAUAAAGUAUGUUUAUUUCUCCACCCACGGCAGCCUUGUCUAAAAGCUCCAGGGGACUGCCACUCCUUUGUUGUAACUUUCAUCAUUCACGCAUUCCAAACUUGCAAAAGGUCUCUAGAAUCUGCUCUCAUCCAUCUUUGUAACGAUGAAAUUAAACCAGGGGACGCCGUUUCCAGGGAAAGCAAAUCUUUGACUGAGGACACUUUAAUAGCUUGUAGUUAAAAUGAUACUAUUUAAGCGUCAGCUGGGAAAGGUCUACUGUGGAAACCACAUUUUUCUCAAUGAAUGUUUUGGCAAAUUAAUAACACUGCCCAUGAGGUGUGAUAACUGCCGGUUUCACGGGCCUUCACCAGAGCCCACCAAGGGUAAGAUGCUUGCACGACUGUAUGGCUAAACUCUCAUGUUAAGAGGUGGCCACUAGCAUGCAGCAGCCACGUCCAGAAAGCAGCAAGAGGCAUCCAGGGGGGAGCGUGGAUGAUCAGGAUCAUCACUCGAUCAUGAUCGCUCCUCAUGGUUAUACACGUCCCUUGUUUGGGGAUAAGUUUCUCAGAUUCUCUAAGUCUUGAUUUCCAUGCCUCGAACACGAGGACCAAGUGAGGCAUUAUGAAAAUUAGAAACAAAAAAAUUAAUGGAUAUAGGAAGCUUAAUCUAGCAUCCACUACUAACACGAAACUUUCAAAUACAGUCAAGCAGAGUAUAUGCACUGAGACUCCAGAACUGUGGUAAAAAUGGUAGAAUCUUACACCGAAAAUGUUUUAACUACACCAAAAUAUUCUUCCGUUUUUCUAUUUUACCUUCUCAAAUUUGUACUUAUUGCAAUUUCACUUUAAAACAUUACCACCAAGUGGUCUGCAUUUAAAGGAACAACGUAUUUCUAACAUAUACUGGAAUUAUAUACAUGUGCAAUAUGUCUAUGCAUUAAUACAUAAUUAUUCAUAUGUAUAUAUUACAUCUGCUAGUUUAAAUCAUAUUCCAUUUUUAUAAUUUUUCUCUAUUAAUAUUACUUAUAAAAGUGUAUUAAAAUUAGUAAUUGAACCAAGCUAAUAAUGUCAAAAAUAACAAAUUAAAUCAUAGCCUUCAUACAAAAGAACUCUCUUCAUUUUCACUGCCACGACUUCCUCUCCUUGGCCAGAGAAAAGACAUCGCAACACUCAAGUUCUUGGCCAUUUGGCCAGAUGUGGCGGGUUAAACAUUUGGCUGAUUAUUUGGGCUCUUGAGGCCAGCCAUGCCCAGCUGAAACCUCUCUAGGGCUUUCUAAUGAUCUGAUCACUGAUGAUCCAGAGCCAGGCUUGAUUACUGAGCACAUGGGGUUUCCUCUGGCAAGGUCUUGACUGGAGGGUUGUGUGUCAGCUUUUAGCUCCAAGACCAAACAGAAAAUGUGUACCCUUUAACCAGAAAUUCCAUUUAAACAUUAUCCUGAAAAAAACAAAACAAGUCAAAUGUACACAUACAAAAAUGUCCCUUGAAGCUUUCUUCCCUACUGUUAGGAAAGAAGAGGUGGUUAACAAAUUAGAUUUCCAAAACAUGGAGUCAUUAAUCAGAAUGAGGUACAUCUUCCUAUACGCCUCGACCUAGAAAGAUGUAUAAUAAAUUAAGUGAGGUGGGGGAAGUGUUAGAACAAACCAGAAGGCAUGAACCCUUUUUAAAUUGCAUUCCAGUUUGCCUGUGGCAUGAGCAUCUUUUCACGUUUCAAUUUGCUGCCACUACUGUGUGAUGAGGGGCAAAAACAGCACCCAGGACCAGACCUACUCAAACCCCAGCUCCUCCACUGCCAACCGGUAACCCCACCUCCUCUUCCUGUCUUCCCUUCCUUCAAACGGGGAUAACUUGCUCCUUCUAAUCCGCUGACAAAUUAAGUAAAAUGCUUGGUUUAGAAUAAAGUCCUUAUCCACAUACUUAUCCUGGAGAUAAAUACUACAUGCUUCUGCUUAUAGCAGGCACCUUGAACAGCCACAGAGACAGAAAGAAGGGUGGCACUGAGAAUAGGAAACCAGGAGUCAGGCCCAAUGGGCAGAGUUUAAGUUCUUCAGGAUAAAGUGUUCUGGAACUCUGGAGAUGGACCAUGUGGCUGACUACACAACAGUGUGAACAUACUGUCCAAAGUCUGUCCACUUUUAAAAAGUGGAGAUGGCUAUCUUCGUGUUGCACUCGUGACUAUAAUCGGAAAUACGUCCCUUCGAGCAGGACUUUGCCCAAAUCUAGGGAAAGGAACUUUUAAUGACAACAGAUGCUAAUAAUAUUAUCGAAUUAUCACCACGCUGUGCCUCUUUAGGUCCGAAUGGAAAGGUCUCAGUUCAAAUUCUUUAAGUAAUGUUAUAGUGUUCACUCCAACCUCAUAAACAUCAUAACUGAAGCUUACUUUCCCAAACUGCUUCCAGAAAAGCACAAGUUGGUUUUGGUUUGUUUGUUCUGUUCCAUUGUUGCAAUCUGAUAACGGUAACUAUCUUUGGGCAAGAGGCAGCAGGAAAGCCACAGCCUUGAACGGCCAUCCCUUAACGUACAAGCAGUAACCAAGAAAACCUUCCUCACACAGACGUUCUUAGUAACAUUUCCUAGAAGCCUAAUCGUAGUUGGGAGGACUGACCAAUAAAUGUUAGUUACUACAAAAAACCACUUCUGUUUCUCCCUUUAUGUGACCUGGUCUGGGCUCAACUGUGUUAAGUGGGGUUGAAGUCAAGGUAUAUCACAGUUUGCGUCUUGCCCUAACUGUCCAAAAUUUGAAUCUUUAAAAAUUAAAUUAAAUAACACCUGGAAAAAGAACACAGUUCCCCAGGGAAGCCUGCAGCUCAGGAUUUCUGAGCUCAGCCUACUUACCUCCCUGGUGGGCUAGCACUGCGCCUUUAUGAGCUGAUUCCAGCCCUCUGGCAGGCCCAGGAGCCGCAUUCCACCUAUGUACCUCAACACUUUUCCUGUUUCCUCACACCCCAAGGCUAGCGUAUAAUCAUACCAAUUACUGAAACUACAGCAGUGAUAGUUAAAACCCAGGCAGAGUUGCUAAGCCCCAGGCAGGCGGAUGGCCUGUUUCCUGAAUGACCUGCCUCCUGCCCAACCUAUACUUGGCGCCAAGUAGUUUUCCUGAGGCCAACUUGGCUGGGCUAGUGUUAUGAAUUUAGCAAGCAGAGUGAGGUAGCGCAGGUCUAACAGAACUCAAGGUGUUCAACCAUUAGUUCAUGCUUCUGGAGGAAAGACAGAAAUACAGUAAGCAAAGAAGAAGCCAGGACAUCAGUUACACGGGGUGGACGCAGUGCUUCCUCCAUCAGCAUCAUCUCUUAUACAUCAUCUCUUAUACCUAUUACUCAGCACACAACAGGUGCUCAAUGAAUGAAGUUAGUGCCACAAUAAAUAGAAUGGUCUUAACUUCAUCACCUGGACCCCACUGAAUAGUAUAGCAUCCUGCAGGCUCUCAACUCCCAUUGCUAUUGAUGGGUGUUGGAUGGGGGCAGAUAAUCAGUUCAGUGAGUCAUCUCUUUAUAAUUUUACCAUUGUUUUAAAAAGUGGUUAUUAAUAAUCCAGAUUAACUGGCUUCACUGUGAAAUUCUUAUGCAUGUAUUAACAUACCCUAGGCCUCUCUGUCAUUCGCAUUCUUUGCUAUAACCCCUCUCCUUUUAUUAAAUGUAUUUAUUAAUUAAAUUAAAUAACACCUGGGAAAAGAACACAGUUACCCAGGGAGGCCGGCAGCUCAGGAUUUCUGAGAUUUAGAGCCAGGCAUUUUCUGGCACGAGUCAAAGAACACAAACCACAAGAAAGAAAACAUCCACUUUGAGUGGAAGAACCAAUGGUUUCUUACUACAGAAUAGAGAGAAGUGUCUAGGACAGGCAGUAAAUCCUGCCAGCUCUUGCUGCCAGCCUUCUCUUAUGAAAAAGAAUAUCAAAAUUGGCAGUGGUAAUAGCCACAAAUCCAUGGAUAUUUAUUUGCUAUUGUCUAUUUCCUUUGACCACCUCACAGGAAAAAAGUUGAAUUACAACUACUGCUUUUAACAACAUUUUAUUCCAUAAAACCAAUAUUAAGCAACCCCCUCACCACUAACACACAACAUUUCUACUGGGUCUUUUCAUUCGUCACGUCAACAGGUAAGGUAGAAAAAAAGAAGUGAAUCCCAAGUCCUCCGUAGCAAAGAAAGACAAGAACAACCCAACUUCGAUGAAACGGUAACUCCACGUGUAUGAACGCAUUUUCUUUUAAAUAGUACUGUCAAGAUCACACAUGACUUGGUACCCUACCAUAUUAGUGAAUUUCUCUGCUCUGAUGAAAUACCACGAUCAAAUGCAACAGAAGGAAGAAUGACUUUACUUUUGCUUAUGGUUCCAGAGGGUCAGAAUUCAUGAUGGCAGAGAAGGCAUGGCGGCAGAAGCAGGACACAGAGAUAUCACAUUUCUGCCACACAUAAGAAGGGGGGAGGGGAAGAGGGAGAGAGGAACUGAGGAGAUGAAGAGGGAGGGGAGGAGGAGGGGACAGACUAUGAAAGACUAUGAGAAGUGGGGCCAGGCUAUAAACCUGCAGAGCCAGCCUCCACUGGCAUGCUCCUUUCAGUAAGGCAUUGCAGUGCACACCUAUCCAGUGCUGGUGGUAAGGAGGAAAAACAGGUGGAUCCCUGAAGCUCACUGGUCAGUGAGUCUAGUUGAAUUAAUGAGCUGCCCAGCUAUUUAAGUUAAAAAAAAAUGGGGGGACUGAUGUAAAAGGACACCAACGUUGAUCUCUGGCCUCCAUAAGCUUGUGCAAAUAAGACUAUGUGCAUAUACCCAGAUGCACACAUUACACACACACACACACACACUUCCAGCCUCACUGAGGCUCACCAGUCAUAUCCCUUAUAUCUAUGACUCAGCAACAAGAGAAGAAUGACAGGCACCUGUUUUUCUGUAGAGACUGUCAAAGCUUACUUAAGAAAAUGCUUAGGAGCCGGGUGUGGUGGUGCCCGCCUUUAAUCCCAGCACUUGGGAGGCAGAGGCAAAGGCAGGUGGAUUUCUGAGUUCGAGGACAGCCUGGUCUACAAAGUGAGUUCCAGGACAGCUAGGGCUACAGAGAAACCCUGUCUCGAACCCCCCCCCCCCAAAAUGCUUAGGAAUCCUGUACUGGCUAGUUUUGUGUCAACUUGACACAGCUGGGGUUAUCACAGAGAAAGGAGCUUCAGUUGAGGAAAUGCCUCCAUGAGAUCCAACUGUCAGGCAUUUUCUCAAUUAGUGAUCAAGGGGGAAAGGCCCCUUGUGGGUGGUGCCAUCCCUGGGCUGGUAGUCUUGGUUCUAUAAGAGAGCAGGCUGAGCAAGCCAGGGAAGCAAGCCAGUAAAGAACAUCCCUCCAUGGCUUGUGCAUCACCUCCUGCUUUCUGACCUGCUUGAGUUCCAGUCCUGCAUCCUUUGGUGAUCAACAGCAGUAUGGAAAUGUAAGCCAAAUAAACCCUUUCCUCCCCAACUUGCUUCUUGUUCAUGAUGUUUGUGCAGGAAUAGAAACCCUGACUGAGACAAAUCCCAUGCCAUUCCAAUCCACUUUUAAAGCUGCACCUGUCUGCAGUUCUGUGCAGUGAGAGUCGAGGAUGUACAACCACUUACACUUACACAGACUCUGACUCUCAUUUUAGAACUUAGGUACAAUGUGUAGAUUUUCUAAACUAGGUUUAACUGGCCACCCAGUAUGAUGUAAUGGUGGUAUGAAUAUCAACUGUUAUGAUGAGCUGGAUACACAAUAAGCAUCAAUAAGUGUUUAUGUGGUUAUGAUGGCAGGAGACCAUCAAAUACGCAUUAAAACAAUUACCAAAUGCAGAAUCUUCCUAAGACCCAGGAACUCAUCCAUCACCGAUCCCUGCUUACUUUCCUGAAAGACUAUGAGUUCUAUACCAUGGACAGCAAACAAAGAUGCAUUAGGAUGGAGAGUAAAUGAAAUCAUACAAAUAAACUGACCUUGUAGCCUCAUAACCAGCAACGAUGUCCGAGCACGUCAGUCCCCUACACAGGUCCUGCUUCAUGGCCCCCUUCCUCCUUCAAAGUUUAAACGUUCUGCUGAUGUGAAGGGCUGAUAUGUUGGAACUCUUUGCAAGAGGCAUGGCUGACUUCAUUAAAGACUCUGGGAGGCCACCCUCCCACUCUCUCUCUCUAAACUGCAACCCUCUCCUCAAACUCUAGAACCUGAAGAAGCAAGCAAGGGCCAUAACCAGGCUAGAUCCAGCCGCAGAUGGGCUCCCCCUUCCAAGUCUGCCUGUUCUGGAAUCAGCAGAGAACAUUUUUCUCUUUCACAGUUUUCUUGACUAGCUAAUUUCCAAGUCACUUUCCUGGUGGCUAUGCUUGUGUGUCAGUUCCUUCUUCCUGUCUGGACACCUUCUGCAUGCCGCCUGUUCUCGCCUGUUCUGUCACAGAUGCAUGCUCGUACAUUCAAAAUCUUACUGAAGACUCUCAUCAUCUACGAUGAUGAAAGACCUUUUUCUCAGCAUAACGUUGCCAAAGAUAUCAAGCUGGCAUGCACACAACUGGCAUUCUCAGAGCCAACCAAAUCUGGUUCAAUUACAUCUGUUGUUUGUGAGAGCAAGUAUUGCCAGUGUUGUUUUCUGGUCUGUGUAAAGUAGCAAUUGCAUUGGCAGUUACCUCUAAAUAUGCCUCAGAUAACAAUGUAUAGAAAUCUCUACAUCCCAGGCCUCUGAUAGGCCAGAGCUGUUAAGAACUCUCUUUAUGGUGACUGUCCAAUAUCCUGAGCAAAGAUGGUGGCUUCACAAUGAAGCCAAGAACCUAAAGCUGUCAGGUACAGUUUUAUGAAAUUGCUACUGUUGAACCUGGUCAACUCAAGCCCAAACUGACCUUGCUUAACUUUACAGCAGUAUUAAAAGGGUGUAUAAAACAUGAAUUUACAAAAGUCCUGGCUUCCCAAGUCUUUGUCCAUAAAGAGUUGAAGCUUUCUCUGAUACUCCAUAUAAUGUUUUCUUUUUUCCCCUGACACUAGACAUAACACUCACUAGAUUUAAACUCUUAUUAAUGCUUUAUUUUUUGACAGAGCUAACGAGGCUAUUUAGACCAACUCUUGCUAAACUUCAUUUUUAAAAUUCUGAAAAAGGAAGUCCUGGUCUCUUGGGAUGGCCCAGUUGAUAAAAUGUUUGCCUUGCAAGCUUGCAGACCUAAGCUCAAUCCCAAAACUCCAGAUGAAAAUGCCAAAUGAGGAAGUACAUGCUUGCAAUCUCAGAGUCUUAGAGGGAGAGACAAGGAUAACCCUGUUAGUGUAGCCUAACUGGAAAGCUUCAAGCCAGUGGCAGACCCUUUCUCAAAGAAAACACAUGGCAAAGCUUAGGGUGAUGACAGAUUAUCUUCUGACACACAUAUGCACAUAAAACACACACACACAGAGAGGGGGGGGGAGAGAGUAAGAAGUUCUCAGUUAAUUAAUCUAAAGGAAAUUGCUGUCCAGAACCUAAGUAGAGGGUAGUGUUUCUUCUUUAGCAUUACUUGGGGGGAAAAGAGAAGUAUCAGGACACAUAACAUACCCAGUGUGGAAGGUAUUAUAGGAGACAGCUCCCAUCUUAUGAUGGAACCCUAGAGAAUCACAUCUACAAGAUGAGUAUGAGUCAUACACCUUACUGAAGAAUCUCUAAAGUUUCAUGGGACAUGAGCAGAACGGUAAAAAAAAAAAAAAAAGUAGGCACUGUGGUCUGAAUGUGAAAUGCCCCAUAGGCUCAAAUGUUUGAAUAAUUGGUCCCCAACUUAGAAAGGUUGUGGAACCAUUAGGAGGUAGAGCCUCACCAGAGGAAAAGGUGCCCUUGAGUUUUUAUAGCUGGCCUCACAUCCUAUCCUCUGCAUCCUGACUAUAGAUGUCAUGUGAUGUGUGGGCUUCCUGUUUCUGCUUGCCCUCUGCUGUCAACCCUUCAGUUAAAUGGAAUGGUCCCAUUUAACUGUAAGCCCCAGCAAACCCUUCCUCUGACAAUUGUUUCUUGUCAGGUAUUCAGUUACACUAAUGGGAAAGGCAAACAAUGCAGAAGAUAUGUUUGAAGAAGUUAGACCACUGCUGUGAUAGACUUGACUGUGUGUCCCUAAGCCUUUGGAACUGGUUUAUAGGAGGAAUGUCAGAAUUCUGUACGCAUAGCUUGAUAGGCCAUUCUGGAGUGAGUUUGGAAGGAGGGCCAGAAUGCCAGUAAAAAAAAAAAAGUGAAAACUACCUUCAUGCAUGAGCUACACAGGGAGGCAAUGUUUCUACCAGGAAUCCAACAUUAGGCCAUUCUUGGUAUAUCCUGACAAAGAAGAUGGCUACAUUCUACCAGUGCCCUGAGAACUUGCAUGAGGCUGAAUUAAAAAGUAAUAGGUUACUUCCUUUGGCAUAGGACAUACAAGAGAAUAUAAUGUUCAGUCUGUGGCAUAGCUGCUGCACAUGGCUCUGGUUCUGAUCAACAGUGAGAAACACAGCAAAGAGACAUGACAAACAUGAAAGGAAAGCAAUAAGCCUGUAAUCAGAGGCUCACUGCUGUGGCCACGGCUGAAGUUCACUUUUCUUGGCCUGGAAAUAUGCUGCCCUGGACUGACAGUGGCAGAAAAUGCUGGGCAGAACAUUUCAUCACUUUGGAACAAUAUCAUCUUCCUAUUCAGCUCAAUCCAAUGUGUGUGUGUAUAAUAUGGAAUAUAUGUGUACAUAUGUAUGUAUAUUAAGACCAAUACAUAGCAUUUUAAAUACUAUAGGGGAAAAGGAGGGCCCAUGAGUUAGAAAAGACCCACAAGCAUAGAUACUAUCAAAUAUAAUCAACAGAUCAGAUUAUAAAAUAACCAUGUUUACUCUGUAUAAAGAAACAAAAGACCAAGAAAAAAAUUUUUUCAGAGAAUAAGAAAUGAUUCUUUUUUAAAAGCAGGAUUUUAAGAAAGCAUAUAAAAAACCAAAAUAGCCUAGUAAAGAGCCAAAAAUAAAAGGGAUUAAAAAUAGGAAACAUUUAACAGACAACUCAUGAUUCUAAAAAGGUCAGAGGUCAUCUAACAUAAAGUCACAAAAUAAUCAAAGGGGACAGGAAAGGAAGUUAAGAUCCAUGAGGACAGUAAUGUGAUCUAAAAGACACUCAGCAGUGACUAAGAGGGGCAGAGGAGGCAGGAAAGAGACAAUAUUUGAAAGAGUAAUGGUUUACAUGUUUCAAAAAUUGACAGAAGUAGCAACCUACAGAUUUGAGAAUUCUGGAGACUCUUGGGAAGAAUAUAUUUAUAAAAUAUAUCUAAUCCUAGCAUACUGGAAAUGCAAAAAGACAAAGACUGAAUGAAACUGCAUGCAACCCACAGCAGGUAAAAUGGUAUUGUGCUCCAAGGACUGACAGACUGGCCAUCAACUUCUCCCUAGCAACCAUGUCAACACGGCAACAGCGGAAUGGUGCAUCUGUCUGCUAAUAGCUAACACAACCCACAUUUUAUUCUGUACUCAGGAAAAAAAUGUCUUUGAAGGAUAAAAAGGAAAAUUCAUUGCAGACAACAAAAGCUAGGAUAUUUCAUCUCUAGUAAACCUCAAAGAUCUUCAGACAAAGCUGUGUGAUUUCAAAUGGAAUAUUGAGAGAGAGAGAGAGAGAGAGAGAGAGAGAGAGAGAGAGAGAGAGCAGAGAAUGUGCAUAAAAGUCUGAAAUAAUAUUGUCCCUGUGCUUUUCAGGUUAACACUGAUGUUGUCAAGUUAAAAAAAAAAAAAGAAAAAAAAACAGAAUGAACAGCAUAAUAAAAUUAGCAUAAAUCAAUUGAAGGUAUAUGGAGAUGAUGCAUUUGAAAUACUUCAGACUUUAAAGCCCACUCUGUCAUUUCAAAACUAAGAAGAGAAAUACACAAAUCACAAAACAAGACAGAUAUGGGAAAAGGAUACUAUGUCAAUAUAGGUCAAGGUCUGAUGGAAAAAUAGAAAACAAAGAUUUUCAGACUGAAGCAAAGCCCUAGUCUAUUUUUAUCAGAUAUAUCUUGAGUCAGGACAGGUGUCUUGGUCAAAAGAAUAGCAACAGUCAAACAUAAGGGAAUCAACAGGUAUGGGGCAUGGGACAGAGUACAUGGAGAGCUAUGACCAGUCCUUCAUUACCAGCAACACACAGAAGGACAGAACCAGACAGGCGGUCUGAAGGACCAGUGGGCAGGGCCACCAAACAUCCUCAAACAUAUUCUAUAUUUUAUUUCAAACUCAAAUCCCAUAUUCCCAAAAAGGGAAUACUGGGGGCGGGGCAGGUCUCAUGGGCACCAUGGUUACAGGUGUGGGGGCGGGGCAGGUCUCAUGGACGCCAUGGUUACAGGUGUGGGGGCGGGGCAGGUCUCAUGGACACCAUGGUUACAGGUGUGGGGGCGGGGCAGGUCUCAUGGACGCCAUGGUUACAGGUGUGGGACUCAGAAGACAACUUCAUUCUUUCAGGAAUGAGUUCCCUUCCAUGUGGCUUUCUGGGACGGUGUGCCAUUUAUCAAGGACAAAUGUUUUUAGCAGCUGGACUGCAGUAUCUCCCAGCAAUUAUUUUCCUAAGAAGAGAGCAGAAUAUCUCUCCACAGAAUAUUGCUGCAGUUGUGUGUCUCCAAGAUGAGCCUCUCUGCCAUCUCCCUGGGACAAAAGAAGCAAUCAGGAGAAACUGAGGUGACUGCUUAUCUCCCUGCAGCCUGCCUUCCUGUUACCAUGGCUGCACUGCCCUGCUUGCCUACCAGCUCGGCAUGGUUGGUUUCAACACUAGAGAGGCAGCUGCAGAAGAAGUAGAAUUCAAGAGCCCAGUCUAGCCAGAGCAAGGUAGGUGAGGAGACUCUUUCUCAAAGAAUGAAUGGAUUUUUAACCCCAUAUCGAUCCUGCAAUUACCCCCCUCUUUUUCAGAAUCUCCCUUCUGUAAGGAAGUCCCUGGGCACUCACUGUUAUACUUUCUCCUCUUUUCUCUUAAGCCCUGUGAUAGUGGGUGGUUCUCAAUGCCCUCUUCAAAUGAACUGCUCUUGACAGACACCACAGACUUGUGAGGUGUGACCCAACAUCAGUACUGCUGGACACAGACGAUCCUUCACACCUUCCUCUCGAGCCACAGGUUCUCCUUUAGUCUCCUUUGGUGGUGUUUUGACUCAACUGGACAGGGUCUUGGGGCUAGUUCUUACAUCUGUCCUAAAUCCUUUACUCUCUUGCUAUUGAUCUCACUAUGUCUUAGGAUAUAAAAUGCUACCUACCUCCUGAAGACUGCAGGAUUUCUUUUUAUAGGCCAAAUCUCCCCCAAAUCAUCUAUGCAUCCAUCCAGCUGUCGCUGGCAGCCCUCCCCGCCCCCAUACAUCUCCCAAAUAUUUCCCAAACUUAAAAAGAUCAAAAUGAAAGGCUGAGCUUAC